rnacentral:lncRNA from 10 species
AGGAAGAUCACCGCAAGCUUCUGACUUUACUCCCUAUUUAAAAGAAACAUGAAGAAAAGCAGACUUUCCAGCCUUCACAUAUUGUCUUGAGAGAACAUGAUGACUGGAGUCAUUGCUAAUUAGCCAACCAUGGACAAAACACUGCCAAUAGCACAGCUGAAAGAGGAAAAAUGCAGAGGCUCAUGCCUGUGAUGCCAGCACUUUGGGAGGCUGAGACAGGAGGACUGCUUGAGCCCAGGAGUUCAAGACCAGCCUGGGCAACAUAGAGAGACCCUAUCUCUACAAAUUAAAAAUAAAUUUUAAAAAAAGUGUAUUUCUUCAUAGGUUCUACUAUUCAAAUGUUGCAGUUUUCAGAAAAUGUUAUUAAGUCCUACUCUUGAUUAUUAGAUGUUCUUUUUUUAUGGCUUGU